rnacentral:rRNA from 1 species
AUUGAACGCUGGCGGCAGGCUUAACACAUGCAAGUCGAGCGGGGUGAUGGUGCUUGCACUAUCACUUAGCGGCGGACGGGUGAGUAAUGCUUAGGAAUCUGCCUAUUAGUGGGGGACAACAUCUCGAAAGGGAUGCUAAUACCGCAUACGUCCUACGGGAGAAAGCAGGGGAUCACUUAUGACCUUGCGCUAAUAGAUGAGCCUGAGUCGGAUUAGCUAGUUGGUGGGGUAAAGGCCUACCAAGGCGACGAUCUGUAGCGGGUCUGAGAGGAUGAUCCGCCACACUGGGACUGAGACACGGCCCAGACUCCUACGGGAGGCAGCAGUGGGGAAUAUUGGACAAUGGGGGGAACCCUGAUCCAGCCAUGCCGCGUGUGUGAAGAAGGCCUUAUGGUUGUAAAGCACUUUAAGCGAGGAGGAGGCUCUUUUGGUUAAUACCCAAGAUGAGUGGACGUUACUCGCAGAAUAAGCACCGGCUAACUCUGUGCCAGCAGCCGCGGUAA